GACGAACGCUGGCGGCGUGCUUAACACAUGCAAGUCGUACGGUAAGGCCCUUUCGGGGGUCCACGAGUGGCGAACGGGUGAGUAACACGUGAGUAACCUGCCCACAACUUUGGGAUAACGCUAGGAAACUGGUGCUAAUACUGGAUAUGUGCUCCUGCUGCAUGGUGGGGGUUGGAAAGCUCCGGCGGUUGUGGAUGGACUCGCGGCCUAUCAGCUUGUUGGUGGGGUAGUGGCCUACCAAGGCGGCGACGGGUAGCCGGCCUGAGGGGGUGACCGGCCACAUUGGGACUGAGAGACGGCCCAGACGCCGACGGGAGGCAGCAGUGGGGAAUAUUGCACAAUGGGCGCAAGCCUGAUGCAGCAACGCCGCGUGCGGGAAGACGGCCUUCGGGUUGGAAAACGCUUUCAGCAGGGACGAAGCUUUUUGUGACGGUACCUGCAGAAGAAGCACCGGCUAACUACGUG
rnacentral:rRNA from 1 species